rnacentral:rRNA from 1 species
GAUGAACGCUGGCGGCGUGCCUAAUACAUGCAAGUCGAGCGAACGGACGAGAAGCUUGCUUCUCUGAUGUUAGCGGCGGACGGGUGAGUAACACGUGGAUAACCUACCUAUAAGACUGGGAUAACUUCGGGAAACCGUAGCUAAUACCGGAUAAUAUUUUGAACCGCAUGGUUCAAAAGUGAAAGACGGUCUUGCUGUAACUUAUAGAUGGAUCCGCGUUGCAUUAGUUAGUUGGUAAGGUAACGGCUUACCAAGGCAACGAUGCAUAGCCGACCUGAGAGGGUGAUCGCCCACACUGGAACUGAGACACGGUCCAGACUCCUACGGGAGGCAGCAGUAGGGAAUCUUCCGCAAUGGGCGAAAGCCUGACGGAGCAACGCCGCGUGGGUGAUGAAGGUCUUCGGAUCGUAAAACUCUGUUAUUAUGGAAGAACAUAUGUGUAAGUAACUGUGCACAUCUUGGCGGUACCUAAUCAGAAAGCCACGGCUAACUACGUG